rnacentral:rRNA from 1 species
GCGCCGGGUAGCCAUGGCCGGUUUGGAUAAGCGCUGAAAGCAUCUAAGUGCGAAGCCAACUCCAAGAUAAGGUUUCCCACCGGGUUAACCGGGUAAGGGCCCUGGUAGACAACCAGGUUGAUAGGCCGCGGGUGUAAGAGGAGCAAUCCUUUGAGCUGAGCGGUACUAAUAGCCCGAGGGCUUGUUCACCUAUAACUCACUCU